rnacentral:lncRNA from 13 species
UCUGUCUCCAAUGUUACUCCAAUGUUACCACAGAAGCUGACCUUUACUCAUUAUAUGAUUUACAAGAAGAUUGUAGGUGUGGGGUGGUCACGUGUUUUACAAUAAAAAGAGAUUUGGUCAAAGACAGUACAGUAUGAAGAUAAGCUAAAACUGCUUCUCUCCAACAGAAAUCCCGACUACACUUGUAGGGGAUGUCAUGUUGACGUUGGCUAGUGACUCUCAGGCGUAGAAACAAGGCAUCGGUCUAACGGUCGUCUCUUGCCGUACUGCGCAUGUACAACCCGUCAAAUCAAAGGCAGUCUUUCGAUAUAAACUUGUUUUUGACGAAAAUUAAAACGUGUCACUUUAUCACUUUCACGAGGUUGGCGUAAUAACAUGUUCAACUACUUAAGACAUUGACUCGAAUCUUGGUUGAGCCUUUUGAUUUCGGGAAAAUUCAUAACUAAGGAAGAUAUUUCACUCUCAUUAACUUCUCAAGCCCCAAACCCCGGCCUCUUCUGUUUAGUCUAUUUCAGAAGCGUUCCUGGAAAUCUUGCGAUGUUGCGCCUCUGGGUUUAGAAACUCUGUGAUUUGGUCUAUAAAAGAGUGUGUCAAACACCAGUCUACAUCUUGGUAGAGAAACAUCUCAUACUUUCUGGCGCAUCCUUGGCUUCUAUUUUGAACAUCUACUUGUGAUUUUAUUCUGUUUGACAUCCAUCGGCAAGCUUCGUUGAUUUAAGAAAGUCAGAGACCUACAAGAUCAACAAGAGAAUGGGUGGAGAUGCAUCAAAAGAUCGAGCAGAUAACGCAGAGAGAGACCGCGAUCAAGCCAGAACUGAUAAACAGAAAGCAGAGGAGGAAAAGAAAAAGACAGAAGAGGAUUACAGGCAGCUCUUUGCUGAGAAAGUGAGAAUGGAAACAGAACAAAAGAUGGCAGAAAAACAAAGACAGGAGCUCGAGAAGGAAACUCUAAAAGUAAUAGAACACAAUAGACAGCGAGAGGAAGAUGAAAGGACAAGAAUUCAGCUGGAAAAAGAGAUUGUAAAAGGAGAUCAGAAAACUGUAUAA